rnacentral:rRNA from 1 species
CCUACGGGAGGCAGCAGUGGGGAAUAUUGCACAAUGGGGGAAACCCUGAUGCAGCGACGCCGCGUGAGUGAAGAAGUAAUUCGUUAUGUAAAGCUCUAUCAGCAGGGAAGAAAAUGCCGGUACCUGAGUAAGAAGCCCCGGCUAACUACGUGCCAGCAGCCGCGGUAAUACGUAGGGGGCAAGCGUUAUCCGGAUUUACUGGGUGGAAAGGGAGCGUAGACGGCAGUGCAAGUCUGGAGUGAAAGGCGGGGGCUCAACCCCCGGACUGCUCUGGAAACUGUCCGGCUGGAGUGCAGGAGAGGUAAGUGGAAUUCCUAGUGUAGCGGUGAAAUGCGUAGAUAUUAGGAGGAACACCAGUGGCGAAGGCGGCUUACUGGACUGUAACUGACGUUGAGGCUCGAAAGCGUGGGGAGCAAACAGGAUUAGAUACCCGAGUAGUC